CCUACGGGUGGCAGCAGUGGGGAAUAUUGGACAAUGGGGGCAACCCUGAUCCAGCCAUGCCGCGUGUGUGAAGAAGGCCCUCGGGUUGUAAAGCACUUUCAGUAAGGAAGAACGCCUGGUGGUUAAUACCCAUCAGGAAAGACAUCACUCACAGAAGAAGCACCGGCUAACUCCGUGCCAGCAGCCGCGGUAAUACGGAGGGUGCGAGCGUUAAUCGGAAUUACUGGGCGUAAAGCGCGCGUAGGUGGCUUGAUAAGCCGGUUGUGAAAGCCCCGGGCUCAACCUGGGAACGGCAUCCGGAACUGUCAAGCUAGAGUGCAGGAGAGGAAGGUAGAAUUCCCGGUGUAGCGGUGAAAUGCGUAGAGAUCGGGAGGAAUACCAGUGGCGAAGGCGGCCUUCUGGACUGACACUGACACUGAGGUGCGAAAGCGUGGGUAGCAAACAGGAUUAGAUACCCCUGUAGUC
rnacentral:rRNA from 1 species